GCUGGGACUACAGGCGCCCGCAACCAUGCCCGGCUGCUAAUUUUUUUUUUAUAUUUUUAGUAGAGACGGGGUUUCACCGCGUUAGCCAGGAUGGUCUUGAUCUCCUGACUUCGUGAUCCGCCGGCCUCGACCUCCCUAAAUGCUGGGAUUACAGGUGUGAGCCACCGCGCCCAGCCGGUUCAUUUAUAUUUUUAUAAACUUUUUAAUGACAGCUGAUUUUACAGUUCAGUGCCUUAUUUUGGGGGAACUGUAGGCAUAGAGGAAAGAUAAAUGUUCACCCAAUAGCUUAAACUAGGUCAUAUAACAGAUAUAAUACAAAACAAAAUAUUUAAAAGUUAAUGUUAAAAUAAUUGUGCAAGUUUUCUAUAAUAGCUGGGGGACCAGUGAUUUAAGAGGGAGGAAAAAGUAAAAGAAAGCUUAUUUCAUUUUUUUACAGGCUUAUAUAUUGGCAUGCAGGUCCAUUUAAUAAAUAAAGUUGUAAGAAAAUGAUCAAACUAAGGCUUUAGGGCCACAUGUGUCCCUUUGGAGCUUUUAACAGCCAUCAUUCUGCAAAAAACUUACUAGAUAUGCCUGUUAAGUGCCAUAGGGUACACAGAUUCUUUAAGCAUGUUGGUAUCUUAAAGUAUUUACAAUCUGGUUGAACAGAUAAGACUUGUACAAACAAAAUUACAAUUCAGGGAAGUAUAAGUUAAAUGUCAAGUGCCAGGUGAAAAAUGUUUCUAUUGAAAUUCAAAGGGAAAAAUAACUUCUGCUUAGAGUUUCACUUAAAACCUCCAUGCAAUCUCAAAGAAAAGAAUAAAAAUGAAAUGUUCUGAUUCUAGUUAAGAUACAGUGGGUACACAUGCAGUUUUGUUACAUGGGAAUACUGCAUGAUGCUGAGGUUUGAAGUAUGGAUCCCAUCACACAGAUAUUUGGAUGCCCUCAUUUGGUCACUUCAUUGAAAUCAAGACAAGCAGCCUCAAAGUUCAUAGAAAACCAGCCCCAAAGGCACUGUGUUAUGUUGCUCCUGUAUUCCAAUCAUCUAGCUUUUCAAAUAAUAUAAAAUAAUCUGUAGUAUGAAGGGGAUUCCAUUUUCCAGUAUCAGAAUUAUCUGAAUAUUUUUACAAGUAUACCUUUUCCAACCUUGUCUUGCACAUAUAUUUUACAUUUCAAAUAAUGCAUUAAAUUUAAAACAUAUUCAGAAACUAGCAUUUUCCCCUCUUAUUAGCUUGCUUCCUUUUCACUUUUCAAUACAAGUGAUCAUGUUCUAUAAUCAGAUUUGACUUGUACAUGGCAUCUUGGCUGUUAAGAGAAUGGCAGAAGCACAGAGGGCAGAUUUCCUGCCCUUAAGUUUAAAGCAUCUCCCUCAAAAACUGACUCUUCAAUUGAUGUUUAUCAGAGUGCCUACACCGCUUAGUAGUUUUAACCUAAUUUUGUAGCAAGAGGAAACAUUUAAACAGUCCCUGGUGUCUGGAAUUUUGCACGGUAUUACUUUGAAUUUAAGUUUAAAAUAACAUUGGCUAUAUAAACUAGAAAUAUUUGGAAUAGGCACCAUCCCACUGGGCCUAAAGCAAAAGAAUCAUGACGAUGUUGGUGGGUAUUGUUAAAGAUGAUAUUGUCUAAUAAACAGAUAAAUUAAACAAUAAAGAAAACAACUGAUAUAUAAUGGAUUUAAAAAGUAUGCUUUAAUUGAAAAUGGAUCCAAAAAUCUGCCAUAAUCUCAAAGCCAGUGCUUCAGACAAUAUAAAGCUUUUUUCUCUUUUUAUUUUUUAUAUUCUCUUCUUUUUCUACAUUUUCAGAUUUUUGGGCAAGCUAUUUCUCAAAAGAGGAUCAAAAUGUUUGAAUUUGCACACAGAAUUUUUAGCAGUGUGAUUAAAACAAAUCAUCUAAACUCUCAAGUUUCAGUUUCUCAACUGCUGCACAGGAAGCAUGACUGGGGAGGCUUCAGAAAACUUACAAUCAUGGCAAAAGGCAAAGAAGUAGGAGGCACGUCUUCACAUGUCCACAGCAGGAGGAAGAGAGAGAGAAAGUGGAGGUGCUACACACUUUUAAACAACCAGAUCUUGUGAGAACUCUAUCACAAAACAACAUCUGGGGAUGGUGCUAAACCAUUAGCAACCACCACCGUUAUCCAAUCACCUCCCACCGUGCCCCUCCUCCAACACUGGGAAUUCUGAUUUGAUGUGAGAUUUGGGUGGGAACACAAAUCCAAACCAUAUCAGCUAUGUAAUAAACCUAUACAUGUAACCCCCAGUUUAAAAUAAAAGUUAAAUCAAAAAUUGAAAAAAAUGCAUAUACAUAUAUAUGUGUGAAUACACACACACACACACAUAUGACACGUAUAAUAUGAGGGAGAAGGGGAAU
rnacentral:lncRNA from 10 species